rnacentral:lncRNA from 1 species
AUUUGAGGAUUUAUUUCUCAGAUUUCUGGAGUUACAAGCCUCUCUCACAUAGGCUAAAUCCCACACAGGAAGCUCUCUCUCAAAUGUGCGGCGGCUGCUCUGUUUUUCUCCUCCUAGCGGCGGCAACUCUAUCUUAUGCCAAGAGAAAACCUAGCAGCUUACAUAUAAGGCUGGAUCAGCCUUCCACCGCCAUUGAAUGGGCCAUGGUUCCCACCGAAUGGGCCAAGCCCAAAACACUAAAACAAAUAGCCAUUUUUACUUAGCCACUUGUAAAUAACACUUUCCACUCUUAAGCAACACCACAAUCACUCUCUUGGUUUGCUUCUUAGUGGAUUUUGGUAAACAUACCAAAAUAACCUUCACUUGACAUGAUCUUCUCGUUUGCCUCCAUAUAGUCCUUGUCCAAAACUUGUGCGUUGCUUUGAGCCGCACGAUCCCGCACAACGUCCAUGGUCACAUCUUAGCUCUUCAAGCCUCAUGCCAACCAUCCUCGUUUUCGACUACCAUCGCACUCAUUGGAACCUGCACACAAUGGAAACAAGCAACUAUUGCGAGCACAAACUUCCUGAGCUUGACCCAAGUCAAUACAAAUUAACAGUUUAAUACAAUCAACGCCAUCCAAGUAAGUCACAUAAAAUAGAUCAGGUCCUUGAUCCAACAAACUGGGAUUUGCAACCCCACUAAAAUAACUCUCAAAGCGAGCAAAAACAUUGGCAAUAUAAUCAUCACAAAAUUAAGGGUAUCACCACAUAGACUCACAAUCUCCUCCUUGAUGUUUAUAUUGCCAACUCAGCUCCCAGGAAGAAAAAUUAGAGUUUUAGUUUUAACAGAGAGAAGGAAAGUUGCAAAAUCACACUUGGUCCUAAAGAAAAAAAAUGUAGACAUGACCAAGUGGACAAGGUGGAGAGUGAAGCUAACACCCGGAUCCAAAGCUUCACUUCCAACAAAAACUCAUUAGAGAGAAAUCAACCUUGUUUUCACAAGUUCACAAGGGAAAGAACCAAGAUUUUUUUAAAUAUGAAUGGCUCCCCCUAACUCCCCCUCAACUUGUGUACAUACUGAGACUCAUACAGUGCUCAAUUUGCAACAUAUGCACUGUCCUAUUUCUCCCCCUUUGGCAUUAUAAGCAUCAAGGGAGAUGCCUCCCCCUCAAUUUAUGCAUAUGAGAAAACAUCAAGAUCGAGCAUGUAUGCAUGAAGUGGAAUUUAUGCAAUUGUACGAGCAUUGAAGAUUAUUCAGUUGAAGCACAUGAGAUAGAAAUGCUACUAGGCCAUGAUAAGUAAGAGCUCAUCUAGUCAUACUAAGACAUAUAGAGAAAAUCCUUGAGCUAGAUGCAACAAGACAUUCAAGUUCUUAGUAACUUUAGUUUUCACACAUGAUGAGUUCUUAUGUAGGCAAACACAUGGAAAAGAGACUAAACAUUGCAGGGCAUUACAACCUAGCGCUAAGCAAUGACUAGGAGGCACACC